rnacentral:rRNA from 1 species
CCUACGGGAGGCAGCAGUGAGGAAUAUUGGGCAAUGGGCGCAAGCCUGAUCCAGCCAUGCCGCGUGCAGGAAGACGGUCCUAUGGAUUGUAAACUGCUUUUAUACAGGAAGAAACACCUCUACGUGUAGAGACUUGACGGUACUGUAUGAAUAAGCAUCGGCUAACUCCGUGCCAGCAGCCGCGGUAAUACGGAGGAUGCAAGCGUUAUCCGGAAUCAUUGGGUUUAAAGGGUCCGUAGGCGGUUUAAUAAGUCAGUGGUGAAAGCCCAUCGCUCAACGAUGGAACGGCCAUUGAUACUGUUAAACUUGAAUUAUUAGGAAGUAACUAGAAUAUGUAGUGUAGCGGUGAAAUGCUUAGAGAUUACAUGGAAUACCAAUUGCGAAGGCAGGUUACUACUAAUAUAUUGACGCUGAUGGACGAAAGCGUGGGGANCGAACAGGAUUAGAUACCCUGGUAGUCCACGCCGUAAAACGAUGGACUACUAGCUGUUACGGAGCAAUACUGAGUGGCGUAGACGAAGUAGAGUAAGUAUACCACCGUACGGGUAGGUACGGUUACGUACGACGAAGUAGAAACGUUAAACGUAAAGUUAGUACGGACGUAGAGACGUAGACGACGGACGACGACGAGGGAGGAGG